rnacentral:rRNA from 1 species
CUUGGUCAUUUAGAGGAAGUAAAAGUCGUAACAAGGUUUCCGUAGGUGAACCUGCGGAAGGAUCAUUACAAGUGAGGCUACCGAACGUUGGAAACAGCGGUUAGGAGCUUACACCCACCCGUGUUUACAUACUAUUGUUGCUUUGGCGGGCCGUGGCCUCCACUGCGGGCUCUGCUCGUGUGUGCCCGCCAGAGAACCAAACUCUGAAUGUUAGUGAUGUCUGAGUACUAUCUAAUAGUUAAAACUUUCAACAACGGAUCUCUUGGUUCUGGCAUCGAUGAAGAACGCAGCGAAAUGCGAUAAGUAACGUGAAUUGCAGAAUUCAGUGAAUCAUCGAAUCUUUGAACGCACAUUGCGCCCUGUGGUAUUCCGCAGGGCAUGCCUGUUCGAGCGUCAUUUAACCACUCACGCCUAGCGUGGUAUUGGGGCACGCGGUCUCCGCGGCCCUCAAAAUUAGUGGCGGCGCCGGUGGGCUCUAAGCGUAGUACAUACUCCCGCUAUAGAGUUCCCCCCGGUGGCUCGCCAGAACCCCCAAUUUUUUUUACAGGUUGACCUCGGAUCAGGUAGGGAUACCCGCUGAACUUAAGCAUAUCAAUAAGCGGAGGAAAAGAAACCAACC